AAAACUCUGUCCUCAAGGAAGAUAAUGACGGUACUUGAGGAGGAAGCCCCGGCUAACUACGUGCCAGCAGCCGCGGUAAUACGUAGGGGGCUAGCGUUAUCCGGAUUUACUGGGCGUAAAGGGUGCGGAGGCGGUCUUUCAAGUCAGGAGUGAAAGGCUACGGCUCAACCGUAGUAAGCUCUUGAAACUGGGAGACUUGAGUGCAGGAGAGGAGAGUGGAAUUCCUAGUGUAGCGGUGAAAUGCGUAGAUAUUAGGAGGAACACCAGUUGCGAAGGCGGCUCUCUGGACUGUAACUGACGCUGAGGCACGAAAGCGUGGGGAGCAAACAGGAUUAGAUACCCUGGUAGUCCACGCUGUAAACGAUGAGUACUAGGUGUCGGGGGUUACCCCC
rnacentral:rRNA from 1 species